rnacentral:rRNA from 1 species
UGAGUAACGCGUGGGUAACCUGCCCUUAAGUCUGGGAUACCAUUUGGAAACAGAUGCUAAUACCGGAUAAAAGCUACUUUCGCAUGAAAGAAGUUUAAAAGGCGGCGUAAGCUGUCGCUAAAGGAUGGACCUGCGAUGCAUUAGCUAGUUGGUAGGGUAACGGCCUACCAAGGCGAUGAUGCAUAGCCGAGUUGAGAGACUGAUCGGCCACAUUGGGACUGAGACACGGCCCAAACUCCUACGGGAGGCAGCAGCC